CAGAGGGAGGAAGGAGAAGAAGAAGGGAAGAGAGAUAGAGCAAGAGAGAGAAAGCGUAGAGAGAGAGAGAGCGAGUCAGCGAGAGGAGAGAGAGGAGUAUGAAUUUGUGGCUAAUUUUUUAAUUUUAUUGUUAGGGGUAAUUUUGUACUUUUACACAAAAAGUGGCCAAAUUUUAAAGUUUUUAUUUGACUGGCCAAUUUUUAAGUUUACUAUAUGAAAGUGGCCAAUUUCAU
rnacentral:lncRNA from 1 species